rnacentral:rRNA from 1 species
UACGAACCGUCCAAACGUUAUUCGGAUUCAUUGGGCUUAAAGGGUACGUAGGCGGCGCCAUUAGUCGGGUGUGAAAUCCCUCGGCUCAACCGAGGAACUGCGCCCGAUACUGUGGUGCUUGAGGGAGACAGAGGUAAGCGGAACUGAUGGUGGAGCGGUGAAAUGCGUUGAUAUCAUCAGGAACACCGGUGGCGAAAGCGGCUUACUGGGUCUCUUCUGACGCUGAGGCGCGAAAGCUAGGGGAGCAAACAGG